GGAAAAACAAUGGUGGUCUUUUGUCGGUUGUGGAUAUUUUGUCUUAUGCUCAUAGGAUUCGUAUAGUAUUCAGAUACAUUAUGGUGCUACCAAUGUGGUGAUAGUUCUGCCACUGGUUCGUGUAUAACGGACACAGCUGGCAUGGAAGCAGAGUACAUAGAGUUCAAUAUUACAAACUCUACUACGAAAAAAGAUCAGCCCAUAUCUGAUAGCGGCACAAAGACGAAAAAAUACCAAUAUCUAAAGAAUUGUCAGAAAUCAGAAUAUGAUAGGUGUGCCAUUGAGAGGAUAUAAGAACAAGGACUACUCCAUGCAUAUAUACGGGAUUGUCACAGCAGUGCUAACAACUAUUCAUUUUAUGACCCGAAGUUUUUAGAUUUAGACCCUACACGUAACCACACAUCAUGUAUCUACGACGCCUUUUCAAAGAGAGUAGCUUGUGUCACUGUGUGUGAAACAGACUUUUGUAAUGGACCUCAGAUAGCCGGUGGAAAUGGCUGCCGCGCACAAACAUUAAUUGUUUUGUUUUAUUCUAUUCUUGUAUUUUUAAAGUAUAUUGUUUAACGUAUAGUGAAACAUUGGUUAAAUGACAUUUUGUUUAACCUGGAAUACCAAAUGUUGAGUGCUACGCUUCUUGUGAGUUUUACACACGAUGGGAUAAACACGGUAAUUCGAUAUAUUUAGUACAUAUUAAUCUACUUUUCACAAGAGUACACCAAAAAGGCUGACAACGUCAUCAACAAUAGAAAUUGAACCAAUGGUGUCAAUUACCCACAAUCAUUUAGAAA